UGCUCCGCAACGGGAGAGGCCACAGCAGUGAGAGGCCUGCGUACCACAAAAAAAAAAAAAAAAAAGAGAAGGAGCUGCAGAAAGAGAAGGGGAAGCUGAAGCGUACACCCUGUGAGGAGCAGCAGAAGAAGGCUGAGCAGGUGGACCUGGGCAUGACUCUACUCCUCAGCAGAUGCAGCAGAGCCACCGGCUCCCAUGGUGGGCUGGUCUCCCGUCAGCAGCGGUCUUCCUGGGAGCAGACUCCCUGCCUGUCCACAGCUGAGUUAACGAGGCCCACGCUGUGCUCAUUGUCACCUCCAGGCCCAUGUUCACUUGCUGUCCUUCCUUUCCCAGGACUGUCCUCUCAGCCCAGGCCACGCCCCACUCACCUUUCCACUCCUCCAGGAAGCCUUCCUAACAGCCCAUCUUGUGGCACACACGAAUCCUUCCCUUUCUAAAUGUUCACUGUACCUCUUCUCUCUCUUUUGUUCUUUAGUGCGUAUCGCUCCAAAAUUAUGUCACAUAAAGGGCUAUUACGCUAAGUUAUAAGCCCAUCAAACUUACCACGUGAGUGGAAAAGGAAAUCAUUGAAUUUGUAUGUUUGGGACAAUAAGAGCUAUUCAUAAUAUAGAAGGUUAUUUGGAUGCUGUGAA